rnacentral:misc_RNA from 1 species
GAUUAUGUUGAUAGUAGGGGUGUUUCUUUUCGAAGGCCAGAUACGUACAUCUCUGUAAACGACGAUGAGGUAUGUAGAGCGAUGACAAAAAGUACAGCGAACUACGACAUGGAUUCUGAUGACGAGGAAUGGCUAAUCGAGUUCAAUAAUGGGCUUACUGCAACAGAGAAGCACCAUGAAUGUAUCUCAGAGGAGAAUUUUGAGUUGAUGGUUGAUGCUUUUGAGAAGGGAUUUUUCUGUAAUCCUGAUG